rnacentral:rRNA from 1 species
UACAGAGGGGGCAAGCGUUAUCCGGAAUUACUGGGCGUAAAGCGCACGCAGGCGGCAGCUUAAGUCUGACGUGAAAUCUCCUGGCUUAACUGGGAGAGGUCGCUGGAAACUGGGCAGCUUGAGGUGGUGAGAGGGGUGCAGAAUUCCCGGUGUAGUGGUGGAAUGCGUAGAUAUCGGGAGGAAUACCAGUGGCGAAAGCGGCGCCCUGGCACUGACCUGACGCUCAUGUGCGAAAGCGUGGGGAGCAAACGGG